AUCAUUUCUAGGCCUUUUGGCGAAGAUUAACUGUAGUGUUCCUAUCGAUUUAAUAUCUAAUAUAUCCUCUAUACAAAGACAAUGUACUCAAUGGACUUUUGGAGCAGGCUAAUGGAAUAGAAGCUUACUCCAUCCACUUCACUCAUCAACCUGGUAUUGCAAUACCUCCAGAAAUACCACAC
ensembl:snRNA U2 U2 spliceosomal RNA